rnacentral:rRNA from 1 species
UACGGAGGAUGCAAGCGUUAUCCGGAUUCAUUGGGUUUAAAGGGUGCGUAGGCGGAGCAAUAAGUCAGUGGUGAAAUCCUACAGCUUAACUGUAGAACUGCCAUUGAUACUGUCGUUCUUGAAUGCAGUUGAGGUUAGCGGAAUGUGUAAUGUAGCGGUGAAAUGCGUAGAUAUUACACAGAACACCUAUUGCGUAGGCAGCUGACUAAACUGUGAUUGACGCUGAGGCACGAAAGCGUGGGGAUCAAACAGG